GCCACAGAGGUGUCCCUUUGCUCUGUUCUGAAAGCUUGGGGGUUGGGGGGAUCUAGCAGACCUCAGUCACCUGCUGCAGGAAGCGGAUGCUCAAACUGUCACCACUGGUCCAGGAGCUGGACACUGGGUUUCUUCAAAGGUCCCAGAGUGGUGCACACCUGUAAUCGCAGCAGUCAGGAGAUGCAGGUUGGAGGACCAGGAGUUCAAGGAUAGCCUCGGCCACGUAGGAAGUUUGAGGCCAGCAUGAUCAACAAGAGACUCUAUUUCAGAAAACCAAAACCACACGAUGACAAGAUGUUUCAACAGAUAAUAGACAAAUUAUCUGACUACAUAGUCUUUUUCCAUCUGGUAGAUAUCUUUAACCUCCAUGUUGUCAAUAUUCACAGACACACGCUGAAUAUUCAAAGACACAGCCUCCAUUUGGGGAAGGGCCUUUCCACCCAGCAAGAGGUUCAAGGGUCCAGGAGCCCCCAGGAAAGGCCUUGGCUCCUCUCAAUGUUUCUGCCUCUGGUUCUUAUUGUCACGGGUGCUGGGGAUGGGACCAGCAUAAGCUAAGCUAAGCAGGCAUGCUCUCUACCACUGAGCUACCCCCACUCCCAGGUCUACAUUACUCCUUUUCACAGUUCAGGCCUUAGAAUAGAAUCACUGUUUGAGAAAUCUUAAUCACGUUUGGAUUGCUCUGCACGCUUGCAGCCAUUAACCAGAAAUGAUGAGUACAGCAGGCCACCCUCUAAGCUCAGUUGCCUCUAAGAGAAAUAUUUAAAAAAAUUUUUUUUAGAUUUAUUUUUAUUU
rnacentral:lncRNA from 1 species